rnacentral:misc_RNA from 1 species
GGUUGUGUUGUUUGGCUCCUUGCUCAUGGUUUUGGAACNUNCGGCAUGCAACCCUUNUCAUGCACGCCUUGUGCCGGUGGGCCUCGGUGUUCACUUGUGGUUCCUGUGUUGCCUACCCAUUUAGCGGUAUCCGUGUGCCGCGAAGACACGUUCCUUCCACGCCCCCUCUUGGAGGUUGUUGGGGGAAUUCUAAUUUGGUGCGUGUUUUGCGUUAGUUGCGCGUUGUAACGGCUCACGUGGCCACACGUGUCUAUUGUUCCCUUGGAUGCGGUGCACGCGGUGAACGUGGGCUGGAGUUUGUGCCUCGUUAAGUGGCUAURMUAUAUCSGUUGCCUUUUCAUGACACUUGCCGUANUGCCGGUCUUGCUAUCCCAUUGGUGGUGGCAACAUUUGCACGUCGUGCAUAGUC